rnacentral:pre_miRNA from 1 species
AGUGGAAUUGCUGGGUCAUAUGGUCAUAUUUUGUUUUUUUGAGGAAUUGCCACACUGCUUCCUGCAACAGUUGUACCAUUUUGCAUUCCCAUCAGCAAU